UACGUAGGGGGCAAGCGUUGUCCGGAUUUAUUGGGCGUAAAGAGCGUGUAGGCGGCCAAGUAAGUCUGCUGUGAAAACUCGAGGCUUAACCUCGAGCUGUCGGCGGAAACUAUUUGGCUAGAGUCCGGAAGAGGAGAAUGGAAUUCCCGGUGUAGCGGUGAAAUGCGCAGAUAUCGGGAAGAACACCCGUGGCGAAGGCGGUUCUCUGGGACGGUACUGACGCUGAGACGCGAAAGCGUGGGGAGCGAGCAGG
rnacentral:rRNA from 1 species